UAGGGAAUCUUCCGCAAUGGACGCAAGUCUGACGGAGCAACGCCGCGUGAGUGAAGAAGGAUUUCGGUUCGUAAAACUCUGUUGUUAGAGAAGAACAGCGCAUAGAGUAACUGUUAUGCGUGUGACGGUAUCUAACCAGAAAGCCACGGCUAACUACGUGCCAGCAGCCGCGGUAAUACGUAGGUGGCAAGCGUUGUCCGGAUUUAUUAGGCGUAAAGCGAGCGCAGGCGGUCAAUUAAGUCUGAUGUGAAAGCCCCCGGCUCAACCGGGGAGGGUCAUUGGAAACUGGUUGACUUGAGUGCAGAAGAGGAGAGUGGAAUUCCAUGUGUAGCGGUGAAAUGCGUAGAUAUAUGGAGGAACACCAGUGGCGAAGGCGACUCUCUGGUCUGUAACUGACGCUGAGGCUCGAAAGCGUGGGUAGCAAACAGG
rnacentral:rRNA from 1 species